CAGAGCGAUGUAGCUUUUCUUUGAUGCUGUGUCAGACAUUGAAACCAGGCAGCUGUGCCUACUGCAAAAUUUGUUAUGCAUCCAAGGAAGAAACAGACAGCACCUGGCUUCAUAAUCUUCUUAGCUCUCAUUGCCUGUGGUGCGAUGGACCUCUUACAGACAGAUGACAUCAUCAACUCAUAAUGACAAUACAUGAUCGGUGCUUUAACCCAGCGACUGCUGAAUUCUCUAAUUCCCAUAGGCUUAACACAGGGACCUCCUGGUACUCGUAGGCAAUGGGUUAAUUCAGUAUUUUGCUUGGUGCCUUUUGUUAAAGACUUAAAUGAUGAAAUCUCAUAAUAAACUCCUUGGAAGCAAGAAAAUGUCAUUGUUAUAUUGGAACCUUGUUGUAUGAAGGGCU